rnacentral:rRNA from 1 species
GACAGAGGCCCCAAGCGUUAGGCGGAAUCACUGGGCUUAAAGCGUGUGUAGGCGGAUCGUUAAGUGUCUUGUGAAAUCCCACGGCUCACCCGUGGAACUGCUGGGCAUACUGGCGAUCUUGGGCCAACUAGGGGCAGCCGGAACAAGCGGUGGAGCGGUGAAAUGCGUAGAUAUCGCUUGGAACGCCGAAGGUGAAAACAGGUUGCUGGGGUUGUGCCGACGCUGAGACACGAAAGCCAGGGGAGCAAACGGG